rnacentral:rRNA from 1 species
UAAGUGUUGNUCUCAUAAGAGAUCAGUGCUGCAGCUAACGCAUUAAGCACUCCGCCUGGGGAGUACGACCGCAAGGUUGAAACUCAAAGGAAUUGGCGGGGACCCGCACAAGCGGUGGAGCAUGUGGUUUAAUUCGAAGCAACGCGAAGAACCUUACCAAGUCUUGACAUACUGUGAGGACACAAGAGAUUGUGUUGUUCUGACCUUUGGUUAGACACAGAUACAGGUGGUGCAUGGUUGUCGUCAGCUCGUGUCGUGAGAUGUUGGGUUAANNNNNNANAANNNNCGCAACCCUUAUAUCUAGUUGCCAGCAGUAAGAUGGGGACUCUAGAUAGACUGCCAGUGAUAAACUGGAGGAAGGUGGGGAUGACGUCAAAUCAUCAUGCCCCUUAUGACUUGGGCUACACACGUGCUACAAUGGAUAGGAACAAAGAGAAGCGAGCUCGCGAGAGUAAGCAAACCUCACAAAACUAUUCUCAGUUCGGAUUGUAGUCU